rnacentral:rRNA from 1 species
GAUGAACGCUGGCGGCGUGCCUAAUACAUGCAAGUCGAGCGAACGGACGAGAAGCUUGCUUCUCUGAUGUUAGCGGCGGACGGGUGAGUAACACGUGGAUAACCUACCUAUAAGACUGGGAUAACUUCGGGAAACCGGAGCUAAUACCGGAUAAUAUUUUGAACCGCAUGGUUCAAAAGUGAAAGACGGUCUUGCUGUCACUUAUAGAUGGAUCCGCGCUGCAUUAGCUAGUUGGUAAGGUAACGGCUUACCAAGGCAACGAUGCAUAGCCGACCUGAGAGGGUGAUCGGCCACACUGGAACUGAGACACGGCCCAGACUCCUACGGGAGGCAGCAGUAGGGAAUCUUCCGCAAUGGGCGAAAGCCUGACGGAGCAACGCCGCGUGAGUGAUGAAGGUCUUCGGAUCGUAAAACUCUGUUAUUAGGGAAGAACAUAUGUGUAAGUAACUGUGCACAUCUUGACGGUACCUAAUCAGAAAGCCACGGCUAACUACGUGCCAGCAGCCGCGGUAAUACGUAGGUGGCAAGCGUUAUCCGGAAUUAUUGGGCGUAAAGCGCGCGUAGGCGGUUUUUUAAGUCUGAUGUGAAAGCCCACGGCUCAACCGUGGAGGGUCAUUGGAAACUGGAAAACUUGAGUGCAGAAGAGGAAAGUGGAAUUCCAUGUGUAGCGGUGAAAUGCGCAGAGAUAUGGAGGAACACCAGUGGCGAAGGCGACUUUCUGGUCUGUAACUGACGCUGAUGUGCGAAAGCGUGGGGAUCAAACAGGAUUAGAUACCCUGGUAGUCCACGCCGUAAACGAUGAGUGCUAAGUGUUAGGGGGUUUCCGCCCCUUAGUGCUGCAGCUAACGCAUUAAGCACUCCGCCUGGGGAGUACGACCGCAAGGUUGAAACUCAAAGGAAUUGACGGGGACCCGCACAAGCGGUGGAGCAUGUGGUUUAAUUCGAAGCAACGCGAAGAACCUUACCAAAUCUUGACAUCCUUUGACAACUCUAGAGAUAGAGCCUUCCCCUUCGGGGGGGCAAAGUGACAGGUGGUGCAUGGUUGUCGUCAGCUCGUGUCGUGAGAUGUUGGGUUAAGUCCCGCAACGAGCGCAACCCUUAAGCUUAGUUGCCAUCAUUAAGUUGGGCACUCUAAGUUGACUGCCGGUGACAAACCGGAGGAAGGUGGGGAUGACGUCAAAUCAUCAUGCCCCUUAUGAUUUGGGCUACACACGUGCUACAAUGGACAAUACAAAGGGCAGCGAAACCGCGAGGUCAAGCAAAUCCCAUAAAGUUGUUCUCAGUUCGGAUUGUAGUCUGCAACUCGACUACAUGAAGCUGGAAUCGCUAGUAAUCGUAGAUCAGCAUGCUACGGUGAAUACGUUCCCGGGUCU